rnacentral:lncRNA from 1 species
UGCCAAUUAUUAUAUAUUGAAGUAUUUAGAAUUAUUAACGGAUUUUUCUGACAAAAGUCUCAUUUGUAACUGUGAUUUAUACUGACAACCAGUAUGAAAAUAUUCUGAUUCAAACUAAAUUGAGAGCUUCUGAUCAUGAGUGAUCAUGUGACACUGACUUUUGAUCUGUCCCCGACGCUGACAAUUGGUAACACAAUAUAAGCCGUUAAUAUAGUCGGACAAAAUAGAUAUGGAAGCAACAGAUAGUAAGUCUUAUAACUGUUUAAUUAACAAAAACUGUCAGUAAAAUAUAUAAUCUAAUUUAAAAAUUACAAACACAGAAACAAAAUCAAGAGCAUACCAGGCACUAGUAAGACCCAAACUGGAAUAUAGUUGUAGUGUCUGGGACCCCCAUAUGAAAGAACAACAGAUACAAUAAGAAAAGGUACAGAGAUGUGCUGCUCGUUAUGUACACAACAACUACUAUUACACGAGCAGUGUCACAAACGGUAUCAGGUCCGUUCGCGCCCAAUAUAGUUUCGCACCCUACACGUUCGCACUCACAUUUUUUUGCCCCCAACCCGUUCGCCACCCUACAUGUUCGCGCCCAAUUUUUAAUAAAAUUUAAGUUAAAUUGUUAGAAAUUGUUCAUAUGAAUAUAACAAAUAAUUGUAUUCUUUUUGAAUAAAAUUUGAGAAUUUAUUGAAUAGAUUUUUUUUAUCAAUCUGAUGAUUAAUUAUUAAAUGUUGAUUAUGUAUGAUUAUUGCUAAUUGGUAUUUAUAAACAGCCUAAUUUGGUGUUAUUGUUUACUGUUGUUUAUAAAUCAUGAUUGUUGUUUUAAUGCUUUGAUGUAAUACUAAUAAAAUAAAUAUUAAUUAUAGCAAUACACUUACCAUGCAUACCAGUUGUUCAACAUGUUGUCAGAUUCGCACUUAAUUGACUAGAAACAGUGAAAAACAAAUUAUUUCAAUACACUAACCAAAACACGAUUAAGAAUUAUUCAACACACAAAUGAAAUAGUUGUUGUCAGAAUAACAUAAUCCGACUUUAAAACAAGGACUUUUUUUUAUAAACUUGUCAUGACACAAAAAAACUUGUCAGUAUCUCGAAUUAUUUAGAAACAAUGGCAUAUAUAUUUAUACCAAUACACCUCCAAAAAAUCGGUAAAAUUGGGUGCGAACGUGUGGGGUGAGAACGUGUGGGGUGCGAACGAACUUUUCGCAAAAUUUGGGUGCGAACAUGUGGGGUGCGAAAGUGAAUGGGGGCGAAUGUGGAAGGGUGCGAACGUGAUUGGGCGCGAACAGACCCGGAUUCGUCACAAACAUGCUAAAUCAGUUGAAAUGGCCACCACUAGCUGAGAGACGCUUAAAAACCAGACUUAUUUUAUUUUAUAAAGUAAUACAUUGUCUUGUUGCCAUUCCAUCGCAUAUUCUUGAACAAACAGACAGCAGAACAAGACAAAAUCAUACUCAGACAUACAGACACAUCCAAACUUCCAAGGACACAUACAAAUGUCAUACUUUCCCGCCGAACAAUUAUUCAAUGGAAUUUACUACCACAAACUGUAAUUGAAACCACCACUGUUGACAGCUUUAGAGAUCAGCUAACACCAGCUGUUCUCUCUAGCUUCAAAUAAACAAUUUCAAACAAAACAUGUACAUAUAUUUUUAAUCACAAUCUGUAAAUACAAACACUCCAAUUGUUAUAAAAUAUUUUUAUAAAUAUUGUAUAAAUUUUUGUCAAUCACGCAUGCGCAACAACAUGUAUUCUUCAGUAUUGAAGCCUUGUUGACCUUGUUGAAGAAGAAGAAGAAGGGGCGUUUUGAACAGUUGAAAACCAUUCUUUUCCAGACAUUAUGCUCUACCUUAAUACUCAGACCUUAUAUUAUAAAGAGAUAUCUAUAUUAAAGGCAUACACAUAUUUAAUUGACAAAUAUAUGAAAUAUCACUGAAGCAUAUGUCUACACUUGAGCAGCAAUGAUCAGCAAAGCCAUGCAGUGCAACAGCAUGAUGCCAAUCAUUACAUAUAUAUAUCACUUCAAAAUACAUUAACUAAUGAUUGCCUCUCAUUUAGAAAAACUUUUAAAAGUCUCUCAAAUAUAUUGUCUAUAAUGAUAGUGUCAAGUGGUAUCAUACACUGUAUGACUGUAUAAACUUCAUAUGAAGCAUGUUUGCAACCAUACACUUGCCAUAAUUUUUACCAUUAAGGUCACAUAUGACCCAUUUCUACAUGUUCUCUGAUGACCAAAAAAAAUAUUUUAACUUCACGAAAAAUUGAGUUUUCCAAUCUAAAGCAUGCCUUUACUUCAUCAUCGGGGAUGAUCCAGUGCAUAUUUGUACACACACAAGUCUUUUGCUUACAUUUAAAUACUGAUCAGUAAUCUGACAAAAGCUAAAUGAAUAGAAAAUAGUUCAUGUUACAUUCAUUGAAUAAGAAAAGCAAAUAUAUUAUAACUGUAUGAUAGAUAACAAAACACAAGUACAAGCACGACAAUAAUAAUUAUUUUGAUAAUGUAACCAAAGAAUACAUCUAUGGAAACAACCUCAAAGUACUUAACGAAUGAUCUCUUAUUUUGAGUGAUACUAUCAGGUAGGUCCAAAAUUGAUUUGAUUAGUAGUACAUAUAUAUAUUUUCAGGAUCAUACCGUUUCUUGUUGCUGUUUUUCAACUGUAUGCUGACAUUUGGAUCUUAUUUUUGUUUUGAUAUGCCAAGUGUUUUGCAAGCACAGUUUACU